rnacentral:lncRNA from 1 species
ACCAACAGGGCCUUGUUCUCGGCCACGACGCCUUCUAUCUGGUCAAAGCACCGUUUCCGGUACUUCGCCGUUUUCAUUGCGCCCUACAAAACGAACAUAUGACGACCAAGCAAGACAACGCACAGAAUGUACAGCAGUACGAAGAGUCGCUUACCUUGACUUCGUCGACAAGGCGUUUGGCCACACGCUCCACCUUGGCGGCCUCUUCGGUCUCGGCGAGCUCCUCAUGACCGAUAAAGUGAUCCCCGCGUUUGCGCCACACAUACACGUGUUGGCGGCCAUCACGGGGACGACCCUCAAUUUCCUCUACCUCGUCGUCGGAGGCCGCCUGGGUUUCCUCCUCCCGCGCUGUGUUGCCCCC